rnacentral:rRNA from 1 species
AAAUUGAAGAGUUUGAUCAUGGCUCAGAUUGAACGCUGGCGGCAGGCCUAACACAUGCAAGUCGAACGGUAACAGGAAUCAGCUUGCUGAUUCGCUGACGAGUGGCGGACGGGUGAGUAAUGUCUGGGAAACUGCCUGAUGGAGGGGGAUAACUACUGGAAACGGUAGCUAAUACCGCAUAAUGUCGCAAGACCAAAGAGGGGGACCUUCGGGCCUCUUGCCAUCGGAUGUGCCCAGAUGGGAUUAGCUAGUAGGUGGGGUAACGGCUCACCUAGGCGACGAUCCCUAGCUGGUCUGAGAGGAUGACCAGCCACACUGGAACUGAGACACGGUCCAGACUCCUACGGGAGGCAGCAGUGGGGAAUAUUGCACAAUGGGCGCAAGCCUGAUGCAGCCAUGCCGCGUGUAUGAAGAAGGCCUUCGGGUUGUAAAGUACUUUCAGCGGGGAGGAAGGGAGUAAAGUUAAUACCUUUGCUCAUUGACGUUACCCGCAGAAGAAGCACCGGCUAACUCCGUGCCAGCAGCCGCGGUAAUACGGAGGGUGCAAGCGUUAAUCGGAAUUACUGGGCGUAAAGCGCACGCAGGCGGUUUGUUAAGUCAGAUGUGAAAUCCCCGGGCUCAACCUGGGAACUGCAUCUGAUACUGGCAAGCUUGAGUCUCGUAGAGGGGGGUAGAAUUCCAGGUGUAGCGGUGAAAUGCGUAGAGAUCUGGAGGAAUACCGGUGGCGAAGGCGGCCCCCUGGACGAAGACUGACGCUCAGGUGCGAAAGCGUGGGGAGCAAACAGGAUUAGAUACCCUGGUAGUCCACGCCGUAAACGAUGUCGACUUGGAGGUUGUGCCCUUGAGGCGUGGCUUCCGGAGCUAACGCGUUAAGUCGACCGCCUGGGGAGUACGGCCGCAAGGUUAAAACUCAAAUGAAUUGACGGGGGCCCGCACAAGCGGUGGAGCAUGUGGUUUAAUUCGAUGCAACGCGAAGAACCUUACCUGGUCUUGACAUCCACAGAACUUUCCAGAGAUGGAUUGGUGCCUUCGGGAACUGUGAGACAGGUGCUGCAUGGCUGUCGUCAGCUCGUGUUGUGAAAUGUUGGGUUAAGUCCCGCAACGAGCGCAACCCUUAUCCUUUGUUGCCAGCGGUCCGGCCGGGAACUCAAAGGAGACUGCCAGUGAUAAACUGGAGGAAGGUGGGGAUGACGUCAAGUCAUCAUGGCCCUUACGACCAGGGCUACACACGUGCUACAAUGGCGCAUACAAAGAGAAGCGACCUCGCGAGAGCAAGCGGACCUCAUAAAGUGCGUCGUAGUCCGGAUUGGAGUCUGCAACUCGACUCCAUGAAGUCGGAAUCGCUAGUAAUCGUGGAUCAGAAUGCCACGGUGAAUACGUUCCCGGGCCUUGUACACACCGCCCGUCACACCAUGGGAGUGGGUUGCAAAAGAAGUAGGUAGCUUAACCUUCGGGAGGGCGCUUACCACUUUGUGAUUCAUGACUGGGGUGAAGUCGUAACAAGGUAACCGUAGGGGAACCUGCGGUUGGAUCACCUCCUUACCUUAAAGAAGC